AGCAGUAGUAAUACAGAGCUUGAGUAAAUCCAUUUCUUUCAAAUAUUAUUUGGAUUACAACUACAUACUUACUAAAAGCAAAUUGAACUAUGGAAUGUUAGUUCUGAGCCCUCCUUCAUAGGAAUAAAUUAAAAAAUUGAUUAAUUAAAACAUUGCCUACAAAAGUCUUUUCUAUCACAGCUCUAUUAAGCUAAUUGUUAAUCUUAUUGUUGGGACUUGGAUCUGGACAACUGGUAAACAAAUAACUAGACUGUACAUUCUAGAACCAGUAGUUGUCUGACUGGAAAAAAGGAAGGCUUUACUCAGCAAUAUCCUGCUGCAGUUUAGUCAUGAAAUGAGGCCCCCUUUAUGUAAAUUUUUACUGGCGCCAGCUAGCUGUAACUGCAGUCUGGCUCAGCUUUGGCAGCAAAUAACAUCUGUCAUGGACUUUCUGUUGCCUGGAAUGUAGACGUUCUAAUUUCUGGACUGAAAGAACGGAGUUGAUGGAUCUGAAAAGGUAUAGAAAAGGCACCUAAAUGUAGGUAGGCUUUGAAUGUGUGGAAAUACAGAGGAGUUUUAGCUCGUUCUUUUUUUAAUGUGCUGCCUUGUGCUCUCAUAAAUUUAUGCCUGUUGGUACUACUGUGUGGUAUGUGGGAGGUACUUCACUGCACAUAGUUGCUGCAGUGCUAAUAGUUGGCAGCACAGAAAGCAGUACAAAGAGUUCUGAUUCUAGACACUUUCAGUUGCAACAUUCAUUUUGAGGCUGUAGUGUGCUUGUUUAGUGAUCUUCAGUGAUACUCUCUUGAUGUAUUCACGUGACUAAGUGUGGGAUAUGAGCAUACUUUACUGAACAGACAUGGAUCACUAACUGAAAGGUAGUGCAGUAGCCCACGCGCUGUCUAACCUACAGUAUUCCUGCUUGUGUGUAAAUGAAACAAGAUUUUAUUCUCAAGAUGGCCGACCUGGAAGUCUACUUGUAGCUUUGAUAUUUAUGCAAAUGAGCUAAAUGCCUGUGGCUUAUAUAGAGGAGGAAGUUCAUUUCACACAUAUCAAGCGUUCUCCAGUGACACCAACUGAUGCAUGUGGAGGCAUGACAUUGUUGCAAACUUUCUCCCCUUUUAUAGGAAGUAAGUUUCAGAAACUUAAAUCUGCUAGUGAUGUUUUUUAACUUGCUGGGUGUCAUGAGAUAAUUGCACCAUCCUACGUUUAAAAACAAACUGCUUCUGGUUUAAAUUCUCUUCUAUAGGUGCUGGCAAAACUGAUCUUUAAGAUAUUGUACUCUGAACUGUCAUCUGUGAAUGUCAUGUACACGUGUGAGUUUGUAUCUGUCCCAAAUGAAAGCACUGUAUGUGUAUUUGUAAAUAGGCAAAGUAAACAAAUUAUAAUAGGAUGUUUGCUUUCUAUCUUUCUCCCCAUCAGUGGUAUUGACAAAAGAAACUAGCUGCUAUACACCAAACACACUUUAACAGUCAGAAAUAUUCUUAAUUGCAAUUUAUACUGUGUAUGGAUGCACCUAUAGAACUCUUAGCAUCUCUUCAGUGUGUAUGUAAGAACUGUGUUUGGCAGAUAUGUGCCAGUUCUGCAUGUGAAUACGCUUAUAUUGCCUCUUGCCUGAUGAGACAGUAGUGCUGAAGAAGGUUUCAAGCUGUGCCAGAGAUAGGGAAGAUAGGGAGUAUGACCAAGGAACAUGAACAGCGCUAGGGAAAAGAGGUGAGAAGGAAUUGAUGAGACUAAGGGAUGUGAACAGGGCCAAAGAAAACAAGGGAAGGGGCUCCUUAAAGGAAUAGACCAGGAAUUGAAAAAGAGACAGGGAAGAAUGGAACUGGUCAAGGGAGCUGAUCAGGACUAAGAGAAAGUCAGGGGGAGCUUAAUUAAACUGAAUGAAAUUGGAGGGGAAUUGGGGGAAGGCUGCGAGCUGCAUUCUGCAAGUAAUAGGAUGGAGUAGAACGAAGAAAACUGGAGGGCAGUGACUAGAUAGGACAGUUCUGAAGUACGGUGUUAGUAGAGACCAGGAAAGAAGAUUCAGUCAUGCUAGAAGGGUGCAUUAGAAUUGGAUAACAACAAGGAGGGGAAAAUUCGCUCAGAGAAAUUAAUAAAACUGAGAACUUGAAAGUGGUGAAAGAUGAA
ensembl:lncRNA